rnacentral:rRNA from 1 species
UACGUAGGGGCCUAGCGUUGUCCGGAUUUAUUGGGCGUAAAGAGCUCGUAGGCGGUCUGUUACGUCUGCUGUGAAAACCCAGGGCUUAACCCUGGGCUUGCAGUGGAUACGGGCAGACUAGAGGCAGGUAGGGGAGAAUGGAAUUCCCGGUGUAGCGGUGAAAUGCGCAGAUAUCGGGAGGAACACCGGUGGCGAAGGCGGUUCUCUGGGCCUGACCUGACGCUGAGGCACGAAGGCCAGGGGAGCAAACGGG